rnacentral:misc_RNA from 1 species
GAUCAUUAACGAGUUAGGGUCUCUCUGGCCCGACCUCCCAACCCUUUGUCUACUUGACCAUCGUUGCUUCGGCGAGCCCGUCCUCACGGACCGCCGGAGGGACCUUCACCGGCCCUCUGGUCCGCGCUCGUCGGUAGCCCAACCAUUAAAAUCUUUAACCAAACGUGCCUUAAUCUAAGUACAAUUAUUAAAUAAAAGCAAAACUUUCAACAACGGAUCUCUUGGUUCUGGCAUCGAUGAAGAACGCAGCGAAAUGCGAUAAGUAAUGCGAAUUGCAGAAUUCCAGUGAGUCAUCGAAUCUUUGAACGCACAUUGCGCCCUUUGGUAUUCCGAAGGGCAUGCCUGUUCGAGCGUCAUUAUCACCCCUCAAGCCCCUGGCUUGGUGUUGGACGGUUUGGUGGAGGCCCCCUCGGGGGCUCCUGCCCCUCCCAAAGACAAUGACGGCGGCCUCGUUGGACCCCCGGUACACUGAGUUCUUCACGGGACACGUAUCGGAUACAUGGGUUUACGGGACACGGUCUGCCUCCCCUCAGGGAGAAUCUUUCUAAGGUUGACCUCGGAUCAGGUAGGGAUACCCGCUGAACUUAAGCAUAUCA